CGGCGUGCCUAACACAUGCAAGUCGAACGAAGCGAUUAAGAUGAAGUUUUCGGAUGGAAUCUUGAUUGACUGAGUGGCGGACGGGUGAGUAACGCGUGGAUAACCUGCCUCACACUGGGGGAUAACAGUUAGAAAUGACUGCUAAUACCGCAUAAGCGCACAGUGCCGCAUGGCAGUGUGUGAAAAACUCCGGUGGUGUGAGAUGGAUCCGCGUCUGAUUAGCCAGUUGGCGGGGUAACGGCCCACCAAAGCGACGAUCAGUAGCCGGCCUGAGAGGGUGACCGGCCACAUUGGGACUGAGACACGGCCCAAACUCCUACGGGAGGCAGCAGUGGGGAAUAUUGCACAAUGGGCGAAAGCCUGAUGCAGCGACGCCGCGUGAGUGAAGAAGUAUUUCGGUAUGUAAAGCUCUAUCAGCAGGGAAGAAAAUGACGGUACCUGACUAAGAAGCCCCGGCUAACUACGUGCCAGCAGCCGCGGUAAUACGUAGGGGGCAAGCGUUAUCCGGAUUUACUGGGUGUAAAGGGAGCGUAGACGGCGAAGCAAGUCUGAAGUGAAAACCCAGGGCUCAACCCUGGGACUGCUUUGGAAACUGUUUUGCUAGAGUGUCGGAGAGGUAAGUGGAAUUCCUAGUGUAGCGGUGAAAUGCGUAGAUAUUAGGAGGAACACCAGUGGCGAAGGCGGCUUACUGGACGAUAACUGACGUUGAGGCUCGAAAGCGUGGGGAGCAAACAGGAUUAGAUACCCUGGUAGUGCACGCCGUAAACGAUGAAUGCUAGGUGUUGGGGGGCAAAGCCCUUCGGUGCCGCCGCAAACGCAGUAAGCAUUCCACCUGGGGAGUACGUUCGCAAGAAUGAAACUCAAAGGAAUUGACGGGGACCCGCACAAGCGGUGGAGCAUGUGGUUUAAUUCGAAGCAACGCGAAGAACCUUACCAAGUCUUGACAUCCCCCUGACGGGCCGGUAACGCGGCCUUUCCUUCGGGACAGGGGAGACAGGUGGUGCAUGGUUGUCGUCAGCUCGUGUCGUGAGAUGUUGGGUUAAGUCCCGCAACGAGCGCAACCCUUAUCCUUAGUAGCCAGCAGGCAGAGCUGGGCACUCUAGGGAGAUUGCCAGGGAUAACCUGGAGGAAGGUGGGGAUGACGUCAAAUCAUCAUGCCCCUUAUGAUUUGGGCUACACACGUGCUACAAUGGCGUAAACAAAGGGAAGCGAGACAGUGAUGUGGAGCAAAUCCCAAAAAUAACGUCCCAGUUCGGACUGUAGUCUGCAACCCGACUACACGAAGCUGGAAUCGCUAGUAACCGCGAAUCAGAAUGUCGCGGUGAAUACGUUCCCGGGUCUUGUACACACCGCCCGUCACACCAUGGGAGUCAGCAACGCCCGAAGUCAGUGACCCAACCGAAAGGAGGGAGCUGCCGAAGGCGGGGCAGGUAAC
rnacentral:rRNA from 1 species